GAUGAACGCUGGCGGCGUGCUUAACACAUGCAAGUCGAACGGAAAGGCCCAAGCUUGCUUGGGUGCUCGAGUGGCGAACGGGUGAGUAACACGUGGGUGAUCUGCCCUGCACUUUGGGAUAAGCCUGGGAAACUGGGUCUAAUACCGGAUAGGACCAUCGUUUAGUGUCGGUGGUGGAAAGUUUUUCGGUGUGGGAUGAGCUCGCGGCCUAUCAGCUUGUUGGUGGGGUAAUGGCCUACCAAGGCGUCGACGGGUAGCCGGCCUGAGAGGGUGUACGGCCACAUUGGGACUGAGAGACGGCCCAGACGCCUACGGGAGGCAGCAGUGGGGAAUAUUGCACAAUGGGCGCAAGCCUGAUGCAGCGACGCCGCGUGGGGGAUGACGGCCUUCGGGUUGGAAACUCCUUUCGCCAAGGACGAAGCGUUUUGUGACGGUACUUGGAGAAGAAGCACCGGCUAACUACGUG
rnacentral:rRNA from 1 species